rnacentral:rRNA from 1 species
AGCAGCCGCGGUAAUUCCAGCUCCAAUAGCGUAUAUUAAAGUUGUUGCAGUUAAAAAGCUCGUAGUUGAACUUCGGGAUUUGCCCAUUGGUCAGGCUUAACUGUCUGCACUGGUGUGACGAGUUCCUACCUUCUGAGGAAUCUCCAUGUCAUUCAGUUGGUGUGGGGGGAAAUCAGGACUGUUACUUUGAAAAAUUAGAGUGUUUAAAGCAGGCGUCCGUCUGAAUACAUUAGCAUGGAAUAAUAAAAUAGGACGGUUUGGUUCUAUUUUGUUGGUUUCUAGGAUCACCGUAAUGAUUAAUAGGGAUAGUUGGGGGCAUUAGUAUUCAAUUGUCAGAGGUGAAAUUCUUGGAUUUAUUGAAGACUAACUACUGCGAAAGCAUUUGCCAAGGAUGUUUUCAUUAAUCAAGAACGAAAGUUAGGGGAUCGAAGACGAUCAGAUACCGUCGUAGUCUUAACCAUAAACUAUGCCGACUAGGGAUCGGACGAAGUUAAUUUUUAAUGACUCGUUCGGCACCUUA